UACGUAGGGUGCGAGCGUUAAUCGGAAUUACUGGGCGUAAAGCGUGCGCAGGCGGUUCGUUGUGUCUGAUGUGAAAGCCCCGGGCUCAACCUGGGAAUGGCAUUGGAAACUGGCGAGCUAGAGUGUGGCAGAGGGGGGUGGAAUUCCGCGUGUAGCAGUGAAAUGCGUAGAGAUGCGGAGGAGCACCGAUGGCGAAGGCAGCCCCCUGGGCUGACACUGACGCUCAGGCACGAAAGCGUGGGGAGCAAACAGG
rnacentral:rRNA from 1 species